CUACGGAGGGUGCGAGCGUUGUUCGGAAUUACUGGGCGUAAAGGGCGCGCAGGCGGCUUGAUAAGUCAGAUGUGAAAGCCCACGGCUCAACCGUGGAAGUGCAUCUGAAACUGUCUGGCUUGAGUACUGGAGAGGAAAGUGGAAUUCCUGGUGUAGAGGUGAAAUUCGUAGAUAUCAGGAGGAACACCGGUGGCGAAGGCGACUUUCUGGACAGAUACUGACGCUGAGGCGCGAAAGCGUGGGGAGCAAACAGGAUUAGAUACCCCGGUAGUCC
rnacentral:rRNA from 1 species